rnacentral:lncRNA from 1 species
CCUUAAAACCAAAAAUCAUUAUUUUUUCUGAGCAGAAAAACUUUGUGGUGGAUAUAUAUAUAUAUAUAUUCUGAAGUUCAAGGAGCCCCAGGAGUGAGAAGACAUGAUUCAGGGUGUCCAUGCAUCUCAGAGAUGUUGUGCCAAAACGUGUGUGCAUGACAGCAUUUUUCUUGGAGAGCUCAUAGGCUAAUUAACUUCUCAACAGCAACUGGAACCCAGAGAGGAAACAUUGCAAAAACAUCAGCCUCAAGCUCUGGAGCACAAUCACUAAGAGAGGAUCAUCCAUGAGUCAAUUCUCAACCUCUCUUUCUCCAGGGAACAAGAAAGCAAAAUACCAGAAUUCCAACCCAAGCAUGAUACGCAAUUCAACUUCGGGUGACAAAAUAUUUAUAGAUGACCCUGGGACAACUAAGGGAGCUGACCACAUUUAAGCCUGGGCAGUACCCAUACUGGGCAGCAAAGCACUGUGAGUGUUGGGCAGCCAUGCCUGCUGAGGUGUCAUUGGGCCCCCUGAAGACUAUAGGCAUAGGCGGAAGGCCCUCCAACAUGUAGUAAGUAGGUCUUGGCAGCUGAAUUUAUAACCUGGUCAAUAGCUUACAUAGAGAAAUUGAAGGUCAUAAAUUCACAGAUGGGCCUCAACCCACCCAUAGCUGUACCCACGGCAUUUCCAGCAAAGCCCCUCUCAUAUAUGGGAAUAUCUAUGAUUCUCUUAUUGCCAUAUAUCUUCCACAGGCCUUGACUAACCUUAUAUGUGCCAUCAUACUGGGCAACUUCUUCCCCAAGUAGAAAUACCUUCUCAUCUCUUUCCAGCUCCUCAUCCAUACUUUGGUUUAUAGCCUCACAGACUGUCACCUGCAGCACCACAGGCGCUAUCCAGUGGAAGUGCCUCCUCAGCAGCCCAGACACCUUUUCAAGGGGUCUCUGCAUCAGACAGACACUGCCACCAUCUUGACCGUGUCCUCUGGCAACCCCUGCUCUUGCUUCUGUCCUUGCACCUUCCCAUUAAUAAUUCACAUGUAUUUGGCAUAGAGGCCCUCCUCUUACCUCCUUUGAGGAGGAAUCCAAACCUACACAGUAGUGC